GACGUAGGUGGCAAGCGUUGUCCGGAUUUACUGGGCGUAAAGAGCGCGCAGGCGGUCGGUCAAGUCGCGUGUGAAAGCCCCCGGCUCAACUGGGGAGGGUCACGCGAUACUGAUCGACUCGAAGGCAGGAGAGGGUAGUGGAAUUCCCGGUGUAGUGGUGAAAUGCGUAGAUAUCGGGAGGAACACCAGUGGCGAAGGCGACUACCUGGCCUGUUCUUGACGCUGAGGCGCGAAAGCUAGGGGAGCAAACGGG
rnacentral:rRNA from 1 species